UACUUGGUGCCUCAUCCUGCUGUAGCAUUGCUAUGCUUACUAUGGCUUAUGUAACAAGACUUCGAAUGGCGAAGCCACUUCAGCGGUGCUGAACCUGUGUGUCGUGUUUGUGUUUUCCUUCUGACCAACUGAGCAGUUUCUACCAUGUUGGCCGUACUGAGACCUACUUGGAGGCCAUUGGCACGAGCAUUUUCACGUACUCCUGCCGCUGCCAAGGCCCUUAUAGUUAAAAAUCAGGAAGAAUUCCUAAACAAAGUGAUGCACAGUGACCUGCCAGUCAUUGUAAACUUUCACGCAGAAUGGUGUGAGCCGUGCAAGAUACUCUCACCACGCCUCAAGGAACUGGUUGAACCCCUCGAGGAUAUAGUGCUUGCAGUUGUUGAUGUCGAAAACAAUGUAGAUCUUGUGCACACUUUUGAGGUGAAGGCUGUACCAGCAGUAAUUGCCAUCAGAAAUGGAAUAGUGGUGGACAAAUUUAUCGGACUAGUAGACGGUGAGAUGAUAGACAAGCUGAUUGCUGAAUUAUCCCGAGGAGCCAAGCCUGAAUCUGACGGUAGUGACAGCAAGCAGUGAUCAGCUGUGAUAUGCAGUGCCGAGGGUACUUUCAAGUUUGGACGCCAUGCUUCUCGGAAUCAUAUAACAUGGCUUCUUGAUCUAGACGUGUGUAACUGAUAAUGAAGUAGCAACAAUAAUCACUCGUAAUAUUACAGAUCUGGUAUAAUAAAGCUGUG
rnacentral:misc_RNA from 1 species